UACUUAUUUCUACGAGUACUGUUACUUCUACUUGAGUAACAUCAUUGUAAAGUAACUUUUACUUGAGGACUGUUUCGGUUGACUCUACCCACCUCUGGUCAUUUCUCAAGCAGCAGAUCACAGAUUGUUUGACGUCACGGACCUAGCUUGAUUGUUUCCAUGACUCACGUCGCUUCAGUCUCUGCCGUCCAAAGUAGUUAACUUACCAAGUCAAAGUUAGUUUAAACUUGAUUUUCUGUUUCUUUCUGAAGUUCUCAUUAAAAAUCACUUUAAAAGCCAUCUUCUGUUGUUGAACGGCAGACUAACGAGGCCGUUAGCAUUCUGCUAAUCAACGGUCGGCAGGUUUCAAACGGACCGGUCCAUGGAGCGGGUCAGCUUCAGCCCGUUAGCCUCCAAAGCAACGUAAAACCAUUACAACAUCAUCAAAACAAUACCAACUCUGUGAGGCAGGUGGAGUGGCACCGACCGUCCUUUACCCCCCCUCUCCUCUUCAGAUGGAUCCGUCCAUGAAGGGUCAGAGGUCAAGGGUGAAAUAAUAAAGUGAUAUCAGAACAGAGUGAGCAGAGAUGAAUGAAAACACAAUUAAACUGGAUCAUAAAGGACCAGAGGAAAGGGACUGCAAACGGACUACAGAGAGGUGUGAAUCUUCCGAUUUGUAUCACCAACAGGAAGACAUGUGGACCUGGAGCCAGAAGACUGAUGCAUUUAAUCAUCUCUUCAUGAACCUCUUCAUUGGACAGAGUCGUGUCAAACAGACCAGGAGUGUCAACCACAGUGACAGGACGACCGUUCACUUCACCAUGUUCCUUCUGACAGAAUUUAGUGACUGAUGUUUGACUGGAUUUAGCUGGGAAUUCCUUUCUUCCUAGAAUGGUGUUUCCUGAAGAACUCUUCCCAGAGCCGGUCUUCCCGAUCAUCACAAUCCUGAGAUGCUCUGAGCUCUGCUUCUCAUCAUCACCUGUGAAAUAAGAAGGGCUGGAGUGAAAGCUGUGUUGCAUUAUCUUAAACAGGCUGUUUAUCAGACAAAAUAAAUCAAUUAUGUCACAUUUACAAAUUAAAACUUAGUUGUACUUACGCGUAACCAGGCCUUCAAGCUUAGCAUGUAGUCUGCUGAUCUUUUCCAUUUGAGCAUGUGCAUAUGUUUCUGUUGUGUAGCUACUUGGUUUGUCUUCAUCUUUUUGCAUCUUUUCCACCGUGUCCAACAGCUCUGGGAUCUGCUGCUGGUCCUUGAUGUUGAGAACAACAUGUCUUCCUCCACAGCUCUGAAUGAACUCCUGAAUGUCAUUGCUUUUCAUGACGAAGUCAACAACAGCCGGAGCUGAAGGAUCUGACUGCACAGAGAACAGAAUCAUGGGGAAGUCAUUGACUCGAGAGCUGAAGGUGUCCUUGAUCAUCUUUAACUCUCCCUUGUCUUCAUCAGUGAGAGGACCCACAGGUAGGACCAGGAUGAAGGCAUGGACACCUUCAGGAUCACAGAGGGAGACACACCUGAGUGAUUCCUUCAUCACUGUCUCCAGAGGUUCUCCACUCAGAGCAGGAAGCUCCACCAGGGAAACCCGACGUCCACACACCUCUCCCUGAUGUUUAACACACUCUGAUGAGCUGGAGGCUGAAUGAAGACCUGUCUGACCUAAAAUGGCCUUUGCUGCUGAAGUCUUCCCUGCUCCUCUCCUCCCACACAGGACCAGGUUUAAAGCUGGUUUCAUGUGUUCAGACUUCAGAGUGAUCAACUCUUCAGUGAGGGUGAGGAAGUCUCC